rnacentral:rRNA from 1 species
UCUAUGGCCAUACCACCCUGAACGCGCCCGAUCUCGUCUGAUCUCGGAAGCUAAGCAGGGUCGGGCCUGGUUAGUACUUGGAUGGGAGUCUAUUACUGGAACCCAUCGUAUGGUGGCAUCAGAA